rnacentral:rRNA from 1 species
GAUGAACGCUGGCGGCGUGCCUAAUACAUGCAAGUCGAGCGAACAGACGAGGAGCUUGCUCCUCUGACGUUAGCGGCGGACGGGUGAGUAACACGUGGAUAACCUACCUAUAAGACUGGGAUAACUUCGGGAAACCGGAGCUAAUACCGGAUAAUAUAUUGAACCGCAUGGUUCAAUAGUGAAAGACGGUUUUGCUGUCACUUAUAGAUGGAUCCGCGCCGCAUUAGCUGGUUGGUAAGGUAACGGCUUACCAAGGCAACGAUGCGUAGCCGACCUGAGAGGGUGAUCGGCCACAUGGGAACGGGGACACGGUCAAGACUCCUACGGGAGGCAGCAGUAGGGAAUCUUCGGCAGUGGGCGAAAGCCUGACGGAGCAAGCCCGCGUGAGUGAUGAAGGUCUUCGGAUCGUAAAACUCUGUUAUUAGGGAAGAACAAAUGUGUAAGUAACUGUGCACGUCUUGACGGUACCUAAUCAGAAAGCCACGGCUAACUACGUG